rnacentral:rRNA from 1 species
GUUAUCCGGGCUGCGUGGAACAGAGUUAGCCGGUGCUUCUUCUAUGGGUUACGUCGAAGGACCCCGAGGUAUUAGCUCGAGGCUUUUCUUCCCCACCGCAAAGGGCGUUGUACAACCCGSAGGCCUUCUUCACCCACGCGGCGUCGCUGGGAUCAGGCUUUCGCCCAUUGUCCAAUAUUCCCCACUGCUGCCUCCCGUAGG